rnacentral:pre_miRNA from 1 species
CGAAUGCCCGCCUGUCAUUUUGCUCGAACCAGAGUUAUUCUUGGCGUCAUCCAUCUUCUCGAGGGAUGUUUGCUAGGUUGGUGAGCAAAGUUUCAGGUGUGCUUUGGC